rnacentral:piRNA from 1 species
GGACUACUGAUCUCUCAUCUCUGG